GGAAUGUGGCUUAGUGGUAGAGUGCUUGCCUAGCAUGCAUGAAGCCCUGGGUUCAAUCCUCAGUACCA
rnacentral:tRNA from 1 species